AGUGAACGCUGGCGGUUGGCCUAACACAUGCAAGUCGAACGGCAGCACAGUAAGAGCUUGCUCUUACGGGUGGCGAGUGGCGGACGGGUGAGGAAUACAUCGGAAUCUACUUUUUCGUGGGGGAUAACGUAGGGAAACUUACGCUAAUACCGCAUACGACCUACGGGUGAAAGCAGGGGAUCUUCGGACCUUGCGCGAUUGAAUGAGCCGAUGUCGGAUUAGCUAGUUGGCGGGGUAAAGGCCCACCAAGGCGACGAUCCGUAGCUGGUCUGAGAGGAUGAUCAGCCACACUGGAACUGAGACACGGUCCAGACUCCUACGGGAGGCAGCAGUGGGGAAUAUUGGACAAAGGGCGCAAGCCUGAUCCAGCCAUACCGCGUGGGUGAAGAGGGCCUUCGGGUUGUAAAGCCCUUUUGUUGGGAAAGAAAAGCAGCAGGUUAAUACCCCGCUGUUCUGACGGUACCCAAAGAAUAAGCACCGGCUAACUUCGUG
rnacentral:rRNA from 1 species